ensembl:piRNA 21ur-2906 ncRNA
UGGGUGGUGGAUGUGUACAAU